CAAAAGAGACCUAGAAAGUAAGUACCAGGCUUUAAAAUAUUAGAUAUGUACUGGGAUUGAUUUGUUUGACUAAAAUUCUUCAAGGCGUUGCCCCAGCUUGGCUGAAACAAGUAAACAAUUGUUGUUAUCAGUCCAUUAUUAAGAAUAUUCUUUUCUACUCUAAGCACAAGGCCCAAAAUUUUGGGCCAGUUGAUUAGAUCAAACCCAAUAUGCAACUGGUACUUAAUUUAUCAACCCCGAAAGGAUGAAAGGCAAAGUCGACCUCGGUGGAAUUUGAACUCAGAAUAUAAAGACAGUCAAAAUACUGCUAAGCAUUUCACGCAGUGUGCUAGCGUUUCUGCCUGAUCACCACCUUCCAUUAUUAAAAAUAUUGAAACAGGGAGACGCUGAGCAAUUAAGGGUUUCUAGCAUAGACACUAGGCUAUGCAUUUUGAGUAUCUGUUCUAUGAUUCAAUGGAGGUGUUAGCGACUGGAAAGAGAUUGCUAUUAUGUUAUAUAGUUGGAUAGUUAGUGGGAAGGAAAAUGAGAGAAAUAGAAUGUUUAGUGCGGUGGUGAUUUAGUAAAGUUGGAAAAGAGAGCAAGAAGAGUGUUAGUGGUGAGAGCGAGGAGAAAGGGAUCGUUAUGUUAUGUUAUGUGGUUAUAUAGUCAGUGGAAGGAAAAGACAGAAAGAAAUAGAAUGUGUUUAGAGCAGGUAGUGGGAUAUGUAGUAUAAACAAUGGUUUAUGGAUUCUUGAAAUGGUGUAAACGUUCACAUAUGUAAUAUUAAAGAAACGGUCUCAGAAAUUGAAAGCUUAAAAAACAUACAAUUCCAUCUUGUAACUCUUAAAAUAGCUAUGGUAUUUCCAUGGUUCCUGCUAGUACUAUAUUAAUCGCCAUAUGACUGCCUGUGGUGUGUCUGUUAUAGCCACAUCACUGUAUUUCUUCUAUUCAUAGAUAAAUGACCAAAUCAGUGCCCUCAUUGUGCCAAAUGUUGAGAGUUUUGCUUGGGUUAGUCAAUAGGUCAAGGAUGCCAUGGUAACAGAUGAAGAAUUAACAAUUAAGAUUCCAUGACAUGUUCUGUAAUUCUUCCUCUCUGAACAACCAAGUGAGCCUAUAAGUAGUAGGAGCACUGUAAAAUUGAUUAAUGUUUACCUAAAUCCCUGAAUAAGUAAAGCUUUGAAAUGGAAUACUUCCACAUGGCUUGAUCUGCUCUAAAAGCAUUACAUGAAGAGGAAGCCUACAGCACUGCCCCUAUAACAUAACGAAUUAUAAGAUUCACCUUUAUCAAAUUUUAGACUGGUUGUUGUUUAGCUUUUGUUUUAUUUGUUUUAUGGUAUAUAUUGGUGAAUGUUUGUGAAGACAAAAGUGAAAAGUACUCAAUCCAUAAAGUAGAGUUUGUGAAUUUUGUUAAAGGCUGAAGCUUCUUGAAUAAAUUGCUGUAUCAUGUUACUGAUUAAUCAAGCAAUUAUUAUUUUAUUUAAUUAAUUUACAAUGAGAAACUCAGAGUAACAAUUCAAGAUGUUUCAUCAUCUAAUAAAAACAAAAAAUACAUAGACUUACAUUUAUCAUCAUCAUAUCUAAUAUCUUUAUCAUCUACUCUCAUCAGCAUCCUCCUCCUCCUCAUCAUCAUCAUCAUCAUCAUCAUCAUCAUCUAUUUUUAACAUUGUCACCAAUACUUUUGUCAUUUGAUAAUCAUGCAAUUCUUGUACUGAAAAAUGUAGUGAAAUUUGAGACUUUGUUUAAUUAUUGUUAUUAAUUUAAAAAGACGUGAUCUUAAUUAAUGAAGAUUUUUGUCCAUUUCAAUAAAAAAAUCACUUUGUUUUUCUUGCAUGCUUCUUCAACGGAAUAACAAAAUUUGCAUAAACUUUUGUCCAUAGCAAAAGUCAAGAUUCUCUAAAAAGCACCAAACCGUGACAUUGUUUCAAAAUUCAUGUUGAAGUCGUUAUAUUUCACUUACGUUGCUAAACCCAUUGUGAAAAACAUGAAUAUCAGGAAUCCCUAUUUCCCUCCACCUCCUUAAAAUACAGGGUCUUUGUGUUGUGCCAAUUCUAAAAACAAAAACAAAAUGUAU